UCUUUUCCCGGGAGAGAAGAGCUCCCUCACCCUUCUUUUUCACCUGGGCUUGAAAACACUUAUAAUGAACAUAUGCCCUUAAUCUGGAAAUUAUACAUAGAAGGAAACAACUAAGAGUUUUAAAUGCCUUAGUGAUGGAAUCAGUGGACAGUAGUGGGAAAGAAUUUCCCUGAAACUUGACUAGCAAUCAAAAUAAGGAAGGAAGAUCUGAAAGAACGGAGAAUAUUUCAGCUAAUCAGGAUAUGGCACUUUCCGACAUCUGGAUGUCCAAACAAGUGUUUUGAAUUCAAUACGAUUAACAUGUGUCACUUUAAUGAAUAUUUUCCUUUGGAGUCGGUUGGGUGGUUACAUUUUUGGCGAUCGUCUCACGGUCUGUUGCUUACAUUACCUGACCCACAGUCCGCUUUCCUUGUGUUGGCUGUGGGAACGAAAAAAAAAAAAAGUGGAAAAUACCUCAGAACCUGGAGAACAGCACUGAGAAUACAGCUCGUCUUUUAACUGAACCAUUUCCAACGGAGGCUCUCCAAGGACGGUCUCUGGUCUGUGACAUCACGAGGAACAAAGAAAUGAAGAAGUCGUGCCCUCACAGACGUUGGGAGAAGCAGCGUUGCCGAUCUCCCUGCUGUAUCUGCACCACAACCCAUCCGCAGGCUCUGGGUGCAUGUGGCACAUAUCUCUGUGACAUGAAUGCUGCAGUCAUACUUGUGGAAGGUGUGAUUCUACCUCCCUACCAUUCAGCCUCCCGUCCAGGGCACAGAGAGUCCUCCAUGGAUGGGAAGGAAGGAGGCCAAGUCUAAGGAAUGUAAUGGACUAGAGUUCCAGGGGAU
rnacentral:lncRNA from 1 species